UCUCACUCACUUUCUUUCUCUGUACAACUUGGAAGCUUUCUCUCUCCCAAAGCAGCAAGGUCCUCCACCACCACCACCUCCAAUCUCCCUCUUUCACACAAAGAGAGAUAUUGUGUGUGAGACCAGUUUUCGGUUCAUGGAUUCCUUUUCUCUUCUACAAUUCCAAGCGUCUAUUCUUAGUAUUUGAUAUAUUUCAUUCCUCUCUCUCUCUCUCUCAUAUAUUUUUUUCUUCUUUUAAUUUACUAUUUUUUGGUUUAUAAACGGUCACCCAUGAUGCGGAUUGGAUUUUGUGUUGUGCAGGUUUGAACAAGUUUUGGGCUUUUGGUGGUAAUGUGGUGGCUAUGAAUAAGGACUCGUGUGGAGUGGGGUUCGUGGCAGAACUGUCCGGCGAAAGUAGCCGCAAAACGGUGAAUGCGACGACUUUGGUGUUUGCAUAGGUGCUUGCAGUGUGAAGCCAACACUGGAGAUGGAGCACGGAUCAUGGUGGGUCUACCUUACCAGUUUUACAAGGAGGGUAGCAGAAGCUCUUAAUGCUAAUGCUAAAAGGUGGUCAAGUCUGAAAAAGGAAACUUGAGGGUGUUACCAAGAAAAUUACUAUAUGUAUGUGUAAACAUUCUAAAUGUGUUUAAGCUCAUUGCACAUGUUGAGAUUGUUAUGCCUUGAUAGAUAAGAACUUGUCAUGAAUCUUUCUUCUUUUUGCUUACUCUCUUGAAAUUAUUGCUGUAAGAAUUUGGUUUGGUUACCAAAAAUGAAAAGGGUGAUAUUUUUUGUAA